UAGGGAAUAUUGCUCAAUGGGGGAAACCCUGAAGCAGCAACGCCGCGUGGAGGAUGAAGGUUUUCGGAUUGUAAACUCCUUUUGUUAGAGAAGAUAAUGACGGUAUCUAACGAAUAAGCACCGGCUAACUCCGUGCCAGCAGCCGCGGUAAUACGGAGGGUGCAAGCGUUACUCGGAAUCACUGGGCGUAAAGAGCGCGUAGGCGGGAUAGCAAGUCAGAUGUGAAAUCCUAUGGCUUAACCAUAGAACUGCAUUUGAAACUGUUAUUCUAGAGUAUGGGAGAGGUAGGUGGAAUUCUUGGUGUAGGGGUAAAAUCCGUAGAGAUCAAGAGGAAUACUCAUUGCGAAGGCGACCUGCUAGAACAUAACUGACGCUGAUGCGCGAAAGCGUGGGGAGCAAACAGG
rnacentral:rRNA from 1 species